ACUGAUUACAAAACAUGUUCAAGUUCAAGUUCUUUAUUUGCUGAAGUUUUACAACUUAUGGCAAUUACAGAUAAGACAAAGACACUCACAAGGACACACUCACACUGACUCGGAAACAUCAUCCUC